rnacentral:rRNA from 1 species
AUGGCUCAGGAUGAACGCUGGCGGCGUGCCUAAUACAUGCAAGUCGAGCGAGAACUGAUGAUCGAAGAUCGUCUGAAAGAGUUCAAGGGAAAGCGGCGGACGGGUGAGUAACGCGUAGGCAACCUGCCCCGUGCAGAGGGAUAGCCUCGGGAAACCGGGAUUAAAACCUCAUAAUGCGGCACCGAGACAUCUCGGAGCCGCCAAAGAUUUAUCGGCACGGGAUGGGCCUGCGUCUGAUUAGUUAGUUGGUGGGGUAACGGCCUACCAAGGCGACGAUCAGUAGCCGACCUGAGAGGGUGAUCGGCCACAUUGGAACUGAGACACGGUCCAAACUCCUACGGGAGGCAGCAGUGGAGAAUCUUGCACAAUGGGCGAAAGCCUGAUGCAGCAACGCCGCGUGAAGGAUGAAGGCCCUUGGGUCGUAAACUUCUGUUCUAAGGGAAGAUAAUGACGGUACCUUAGGAGCAAGUCCCGGCUAACUACGUGCCAGCCGCCGC